UGCCCAAGGGGAAGCUGAUACAUCUGACACCACUACCUUUCAUCAAUAAAAGUGAGGGGGGCUUCCAAUCUGCGUGGAUGCCGGCGAGCUCUCUGGAAAGGACAAAGAGGGAUAGUGCCCAGCACAACUGGGAGUAGUGUAAACGGAAGGGGGAAGUGCGGGGUUUGCAGCUGCUAGGAGCUUACAGCGCUAACUCAGUCUCUGGGGCUCCAGGCAGGAGUUAGCGGCUACGAGCGCCGCUCGGGAAUCUGCCGGGUAGCAGCAGAGCGCUGCGGGCCUGGCAACGUGCCCGCGGAGCCAGGAGUGCUCCGCAGUCGCGCCGGGGCACGGCCCGCCGCCGGAAACCGCGGAGCCCUCGGCGCGGUGGCGACUCGUACGCACCGCCCUACUCCCUCCGGAUACUGCCCUGUUUCCCUCCUCCCGUGUUAACCCGCAACCUGGAACCUCCCAUUCCCUUCCAGCCAGCCAUGUGUAUCUGACUGUCCCAUCUGCACAGGAGGGAUACAAUCCACACCUGAGAGGGGGACCUUCCACAUUCUGAUCAGGAGGGAUUCUUUUCAUGAGGAAUUGCUAAUGGAAGAAGUAGUUUCUUUCUUCCAAUUACACACUCCAUAAGAAGUCUCUCAACAACACAAAGCAUGUAUUUUCUUAUUUAUCAUUCCAAAGAAAUAAGCUAGACAUCGUUCCACAAUGGAGUUAAGAAAACAGAAGAGCUUCUGGCAUGAUGGUCUUGUCGGGUGCCCUCUCCAUGCCUGCUCAACAUCUGACCCUGAUCAGGAGGAGAAAUAAGAGGUUUAGGGAGGAUAUGUUCUGCAAGAUCCUCCAAUUCUUUACAGCUUCAGACUAUAAGUGCAGUGCUUGGAGAGCCCAUCUGAACAUGACCAUGGAGAAGGACCAAGAAUGGAGAGAAUGGUUUCUGCAGGAGAGGCAUAAGGACCGAGAUGCAUCAGGAAAUAUGCCAGGACAUAAUGGCUUUGCUCAGGGAAUAAACUCAAAUGUUGCAGAGUAUUAUUGACAUACAUGCCCAAACUCAGCAAACUUUCCAGUCCUUGGAGAAUUCCAUGGUUGCUCUCCCUAUAUCCCCCAACAUUCCACAUGAGGCACCAUGAUGUACCUCCUUACCCCUACCUUUCCAUGCUGAACAACAGAGAAUAAUACCUACACGUGUACCGAUUUGAAAAAAAACACAGGUUGGUGUAUAUGUAAUCUACUAAACUGUUGUAGCUUUUAUAUACAUGGUCAUAAAUGUUCACUAUUUACUUCCAUUUUCAGUUAGGAUUUUAUAAUUUACUCUGUAUAGUGUUGGUAAAAGUUUUUUAACCUUGUAUAUGUUUGUUUGCACUUUCAUUUUAUUUUCUGUUUCU